rnacentral:rRNA from 1 species
GUCCAGACUCCUACGGGAGGCAGCAGUGGGGAAUAUUGCACAAUGGGGGAAACCCUGAUGCAGCGACGCCGCGUGAGUGAGGAAGUAUUUCGGUAUGUAAAGCUCUAUCAGCAGGGAAGAAAAUGACGGUACCUGACUAAGAAGCCCCGGCUAACUACGUGCCAGCAGCCGCGGUAAUACGUAGGGGGCAAGCGUUAUCCGGAUUUACUGGGUGUAAAGGGAGCGUAGACGGCUAGUCAAGUCAGAAGUGAAAGCCCAGGGCUCAACCUUGGGACUGCUUUUGAAACUGAGUAGCUAGAGUGCAGGAGAGGUAAGCGGAAUUCCUAGUGUAGCGGUGAAAUGCGUAGAUAUCAGGAGGAACACCGGCGGCGAAGGCGGCCUGCUGGACCGUGACUGACGUUGAGGCUCGAGAGCGUGGGGAGCAAACAGGAUUAGAUACCCUAGUACAC